CCCCUUCACGACCACUGGAGCUCACGAUCUCAAACGGCGGCGACUCCUCUACCGCUAGCGCUCACGAUCUCCAACCGCAGCGCCUCCUCCAGGCCUCUACAUCGAGGAGCAGUGUCCACCGCAACGCCUUCCUAGAGCUCGUCUACCUCGCGAACCCUAGGUGCCGCCGCCAUGCCGAACUGCGUGGGCAGCAAGUUCGAGCAACCGCCAUGUCCUUUCCGUGACGGCAAAAAGUUCGGGCACCGCCCACCCCUCAGGAAAGCAAGUCUGUGAUCACUUCGCCCGCCAGGCAGAAAACGUGCAAUUUUGUGCACUCAAGAUCCUCGCAAGAGCCAUGGAGGGGCCGUGGCUGAUGCCGCAGGUGGCCGUCAUGGUCCUCUUCGACAACCUUCAUGUGAUUUGCGACUGCUUCAAAGUCUAUUCCUGAUGCCUCCUUAUAAUUUGGGUUCACUUCUCUUUUUUCAGUGCAAAGGAUAUAUGCAUGGGAGGUUGCUUUAUAGAUUGAACAACAUAUGCUUCUGAUGUUGUUCACUUAAAACCGAUCCACUAUUUUAAUUUUUUAGAUCAACAUCCACUAUUUUAAUUGAACACUCACAAGGCUGUAUGGUACAUAGGAGUAUAUACAACCUCUGAAAAUUCAUGCUAUGCAAUCAAUAUCAAUUAUUAGAUGGAGCAUGUUGUUUCAAAGGCUGAUUUAAAAUGUGUUUAUAUUUAUUGUUCAUUGGGAAGCUACUUAAGUUAAAUUUCUGAAAUAUAGCGUGUGAAUAUACUUAUCUUAUAUUAAUAUUGCAUUUGGUAAGCCACUUCGAGUAGUUCUUUCAUUUUGCCGGUCAGUAUGAAUAUGAUGCUGAAAAGGUUGACACUUGCAUUGAUUGGAUUUGGAAUCUUGCCGGUUCUUGGUAGUAUCAAUGGGCUGUUUGCUCUGCUUUACUUUUAAAUUUGGACAAAAAAGUAUUCGUACAUAUGUACAUGUGGUUUAUGCUGAAAAAAUCUUGCCUUGAUCUAUUUGAUGACCGACAUUCAAGUGUCUGAACUUGUGGUACUAGCUUUCACCAUUAUAUGGUGGGUGCUCAUUUCGGUUCCUUUGAUGCUCUAACUAUUUCACGUGUGAAAUUGGAUGACUUAGUAGAGGGGAUGAAAAGGUCAUGGAAGAAUAUUUGCAAGGAAUUAAGUGUGUAUGCAAUUGGAUAUUUGUGUAAGGUUUCGAUGCAUUUACCAGAUAGGUAGGUGAUACUUUUAGUCGUUAUAUUUACAUAUGUCGCCUUUAUUUGCUAGGGCACAUAUGUUGUCAUGUACUCAUGUUCUCCGGAUUAGAUCAAUCACCAUACUAUUCUUAUAUUUUUUCUUGGCUGCUUGUGGAAUUCUAGCCUAGCCAACAUCAUGAACCAGCACCCUAUAUUUAGACGUGGUAGUGCUUCCAUGCUGUUUAUGGCACCAAUUCUGUAUAAGGAAGAAUAUAAAUUGCUCAUUUUCCUCCUAUGAGUUGAAUGGUCUCAAAUCUUGGUGCAUGUUUUUUUAAAUGUUACAUCUAUAACUGAAAAUCCUUCUGAUAUAGAUUUGUUAGUAAGUUAAGCCAUUUUGAUAUCAUAAUUUUGUGGUUACAAAGGUGGUACACGCAGCCAUGCAGUUCAUAGGAAGGAGAUACAUGAAAUUUUUUUUCCUGGAAUGCUUAGGUAAAUUGUGUGAUGUAAAAAAAGUCUACUCCCACAAUUGGUUUGCAUAGUUUGAUAUCAUAAAGUGCAGUUAGAUUCAAUAAUGACUAUCACUCUUGGAGUUCUAAAUGUAUUGAGAAAUUUAUACGGUUCUUUACAUGGCUAUCAACUCUUUGAGGUUUGUUGUUCCAGAUGUUUGUGUCUUCUACUUGCUGCGAGUGCGAGCCUGCGAGGUUGAUGAUAAUACAGACUCAAGUCCUGGCAAUCUGGGUUAAAUGUGAUGGUCAUCUAUGUGAUGUACAAAGAGUUGAUAAGGUUAGGGGAAAGAAAUAUUUCAGCAUUGAGCGAUUCUAAAUAGGAGUACAUGACAAUAACAAGCUUACCUCUUCACCCACUCGAGAGACACUGGAUCCAAAGUGUGCUAAGGAUCCUCUCCAUGGACUUCUUCUUCAAUGUCGCUGUUAUUU